CGUGCACACCCUUUCACAGGUUUCUCCAAGAAUGUGCAAGACAAAUUCAUCAGCAGGCCAGAAUGCGCUGUUUGCUGGGCCGGUGACUAUGGUUACUACAUAAUGUGGCCAGUGGAGUGGUUUUGGUAUCACUGAGGCCGGUGAUGAAGCUGAGGUGCUGGAGGUUCCUCCGCCCCCCAUGGACAUCGAGGGGGUGCCGGCGUAUGCAGUUCGGUCCAUACUGGACUCGAGGUGUCGGGUGAGGGGCCUUCAGUACCUCGUGGAUUGGGAGGGGUACAGUCCGGAGGAAAGAUGCUGGGUUCCGGUGGAGGACGUAUUGGACCCAUCUAUGCUGAGAGAGUUUCACCGCCUCCAUCCGGAUUUUUAUGCCAUUCUUUGUUUUCGCGGUUUCAUAAGAGUGUUAUUGUCGGAACUUUGUUUGAUCCUCCGUGUGUUUGUACGGGUUCUCUGUUGUCGAGGGUGUUGUACUUUUUUGAUUGUGCCAUACCUGUGUUGGUGGACUUGCCAAUUAAAGUAUGCUUCUCAGA